GCACAUUUUGCACUAGGCAUUAGGCUGGCACAGAUUGUUUCCCCAGUUGCUACCCCAGCUCUACUAAAAAGGGGUGCUAUUUGGAAGGGGUGACCCUGUGGAUGUUCCAAGGUCAUUGAAGAAUGCUCAUGGAUUUCUGGGGAUGGCUGGGGCAUCAUGCACACACUGACUCAAACUUUCAACGAUCAUACCAAAGUUCCACAACAACCCAAAUCCUUCAGGAGUGUGUCCGUCUACACACCAGGAUCACAACCCUCUGGUCACAAGAUGGAAAGACUAUUUGUGGAAGUGGAACUUGGGAAAUUCCCAUCAGGAAGCCUUAAAGAUGUGGUUUAUAGUCAAAAUCAUCUAUGGGAACAGACACAACAAUAUGAAAAGAUCAAGCUGCACCAUGUGGCAUUUAUUUCCCAGUUUUUGAAUUCUGCAGAGAUACCAUUGCUCCCACAAACUCCUCUUUUUUUCACUUCUGGUAUAUUUUAUAGGAUGCUGUUUUGGGAACCUAGUCCCCAUAAAAUAGACACGCAUACAUUCAUUCAGGCCUGGCAGCCCAUUUGUCUGUCACAAUCGGCAGAUUCAUUGCUAUUGUCCUCUUAAUUAUUAGAAAAUUAUUGUAUUAUUUUGUAUAUGUGUUCAUUAUUCACUAUUUGUUACUCCUUAUUUGCCUAUUUAAAAAGGUUUAGUCAUCCAGUCAGGGAAAAGAAGGAAUCCCAAAUGUCUCAGGGGAACAGUCACAUAUAGUACCAUGAAUAAUGACUAGCCAAAGUGGACAGUUCACAAACACUCAAUAGGGUGAAAUUUGACCAGCUCUACUUCCCCAUUUGCAUCCAGCCGUAAGUAUGUGCAGAAUUUCAUGAAGAUCAGAUUCAAUUUACACUCUGCUUUUGCUUCUUCACCCAAACAGGUUAUUAUUACAUUGUUUUAUCCAGAGGCAGCAUUGCUAAAAUGAUCUCCACC
rnacentral:lncRNA from 1 species